AUGGUCAAGUAUAUUAACACGGAUGAGAAGGUGGGCUAUCUGUGUUUGCUCUGUAAGAGGAAGCUGUUGGUGGGUGAAUGGUGUGCCCAUGCCUUCAGUUUGGAACAUGUUAAAACGUUUCUGACAUGUUUCCAUCCAGACUCAUUGAAUUCCAGCACUGAUAACACAGAGGGAUUACUGGACUUAGCAAAACAGGCCAUGUGCUUUCACAAGACAUCACAUGUCCAGACAAUACAGUUGUACAGGCCCAUCUGGGAGCCAUGUGACUACAACACAUUAAAACACAUUCUAGCAUCUGUAAAAAGAAGAGAAAGUGCAGAAAAACUUGAACCUCCAAUAGUCCCUCAAGGGAAACUGGUACCAAGAGGAACCCUUAAAGAAGUGCACAAGGACAGCGUGAGAGACAGUAGUCUGGAAAACAGUGCUGACAAUGAAGGCAAUGGGCAAACAGUUGAAAAGAAGGAUAAGGAGACACCUACGCAAAGUGACAAAGAAACUAAUAGAGGGAUCUCAGAAAUUCAGGGUUUAGAUGAGAAGAAGAAUAGUGGUGAAACAUGCAAGAUCACACCAAAGACAGAACCCAGUGGCGAGAUCCCGAAACCCGCCCAAAAAAGGCCCCGCAGCACGUCUGAAAAACCUCAGGAAGACAUACCUCCUGAGGAGGAAGAGGAUGCAGAGAGAGAAAUCGGCCAUAAAAGACAGCGGCUGUCAUUCAAGGUGCCUUGUGAAGAACCCCCAGAAGUGUCUUCCAGUGAACAGACAGAGAGCACAACAGCAGAUAUGGAGCAUCAGACAGCAACAGCAGGGCUGGAAAAAGGAUCACUUUUUGAAUGCCGUUGUGACAAACAUGACACUAUGUACUUCUGCAUGUCCUGCUCGAUGAAGCUCACAAAGACUGAAGUCGUUGGACAUGUUGCUGGCCCUGGGCAUCAUGAAGUCACUCCGGUGAUUGUUAAUGUGGAUGAAGAGGUUUACAGUAUCAUCUCAAAACAAAGCUUUAAAUCAGCUAUACAAACACUAAAAGCUCAGCCUCUCUGUGGGUGGACAUGCUCUUCAGCCUCAGCCCCCUUCGGUGGUAAAGCAGGUGACACCUCAGUCUCCCUUCAUUAUCAACACUCUGCCUUUGGAAAGGACAAAAUGGAGGUGGUGAAAAUGAAUAUCAGUGACAAUGAUUCAGAUGACUCCACAGCAGUUGCAAGCAUGCCUGCAAUUACAAACACAACUGAAGUCACCUGUGAAUCAAAUAAAGACGGCACAAGAACCCAUGUGAAAGUUUCAGCUGGCACCACUCAUACGGGUCUGACAGUUUCCAGAGGAAGAAAUGACACAUCAAGUCUAUGUUCUCAGGUUGCAUCUAGAAUGCAUAAAACCACAGUUACUGAAGCUUCUGCCAACACUGCAGACGUAAAGAAUUCAGUGGGGUCAAAGGCUAACGCUGCACCACAUAGUAAUAAAAAUAAACGGCCUGCUGCUCCCCACCCAGCCACAGCAACAACCAUGCCUGCCAUGCCUGAACACAAAAAGCCAACCAAGGAGCCCUCUCAUACCUCCACAAAGCCAAGAGAUAAACUUCCUGUUGUUGGUGUAAAUCAGCUAAUUAAAGUAAAAUGUGGAGACAAGCGGCAAGUUUACUGUCAGCUGUGUUCAGUCAAGCUGAAUGAGUCCAGUCACGUGAGCGAUGAAGCGCAUCAGUACAAAUAUGUGAAAAUGGUUUACCCUGGGUGGUCUGCCAAGCCCUCAGAAAUGGAGAGCAAAUUUAAGAGGACUGUAAUCGAAUUGGGUGAGAAGGAGAAAGACAGAAGCCAUACAAAGGAGGUGGAAGUGACAAGUGAAGUUUACAAAGAGCUGGCUGCUCUUCCACAAGAGAAAGCCAUAGAAAAACUGAAAGAAAUGCUUAGGCAGAAACGCACUAGGGAAGCUGUCAUCUCCAGCCCAUGUGAAGUGACGAGCUCAGACGAUACUCAUAACCCAUCAGAGCAGCAGAACAAAAAACAGGACCAGCUGUUGGCCCAGAUCCUAGUUGAGAACCCAAAUGGUGGGAGAUACAAACUGUCAGACCCACGCUCUGCACGUACAGAGCAGCCAAACCAGUCAAACACAAGAGACAACUUACCAGUACCCAGCAGCCUGAGCGCAUCCAAGGAGCCCCCAAGAAUUUCAUUGGGCGUAAAAAGUAAAGACAGCAGUCAUUUGUUCUGGUAUUUGAAAGUAAAGGUACUGGAUUCCAAAAUAAUAAUUGGUAUGAACUAUGUGUGGGAGUGUCGAGGGGUAUCUCUGGAUCCAUUUUAUUUAUGUGAGAGCUGUGAGGAGACAAUCUCUCUGAGUGACAUCUGUCAUCACAUGGUCGGCCAAGAUCAUCAAGUCUGUUACCUGAAAAAAUGGCAGUCACAGUUUCUGUGGCCAUUUCAACAGAGCGAUCUCCCCCUGCAAAUGAAAUUAACAUUUUUCAACGUCAUCACCAGGAUGCUCUCAAUGCGGGAGAGUUUCCACAAAGCAGACGCACAGGUUAUAUUGUUGCAACAAGAGUUGUAUGAGUCUGUUCGCAAGUCUUCGUUCAGCGAAGCUUUGAACAAGGUGAAAAGAAUCAAACAGCAACAGAAUGGUGGCUGUUCAGCUGUCAAUGAACCACAGCAGGAGCUCAUUAAGCAUAUGGAAGAGUUUCUUUCCACACAGGUGUGGCCUUUUGAAACACAGGCGCCAGAUCAGGAAAGUCAUAAUGCCACACACAAAACAGAAAAACCUCAUGAGGAAGAAGCGACUGUACAAUUGGAUCGAGUCACAGAAAGAAGUGUGAACUGUUCUGUUCCAAAAGCUGAUUGUGCUGUUGAGUCCUGGAGUAACAUUUCUUUGCACCCUGAAUUGACACAACCAAAGCCCAUGGAAACCCCCCAGAUUGAAGUGAAUGAGACAGCGGUGCACUCAUCUUUUUUUACUGCUAACCAAGACAUAAGUCAAAACCCAACAUUGUCUUCCAAAGAUAAAAACCCUCCAACCAGGAAAAUGUCAGCUGAUACAUCUGCUGAAACACUGGGCCUGUUGCAGCCUCUUGCUGAGGGGAGUUCUGAGCUCACUGCUGUUAACCCUGCUGUAUCCCCUCUCCUACCGUUUCCAGCAGAGAAAGAGCCUAGAUCUGACAAACAAAAAACAUUCAGUGUAGACUUACAAUCAUUUGCCAGGGUAAUAUCUCAUUUUAUAGGAAAAACAACUCAGUCGAAAGCUCCAGAUAAUGCAGAGUGUAAUGACUCGGCUGCCAGCAAGUUAUUGGAGAGAACGGAGAGCACAUGCAAUUCAGUUAGCAGUGUUGCUGCCACCACUGCAGACCCAAAACCUCAACAAAGUGUCCUUGAAGAAGUCAGCCAGUCCAUCUCUAGUUCUGCAGCUACCGACCCUAACCCAGGACAGACAUGGCAGCUGCACAGCAACACACAGACUGACGGCAUCAGAGAUGAUCAGUUGCCUAUUAACACUAUUGUAACUUCAAGGAAGCACCUCAAAAACCACAACUUUAUGGGCAGCUAUAUAAGACAGGAUCUUACUGAAGGGAACACAGCCACUCAGGCCAACUUCUCCGCAGUUCCCUCACUCCCCAGUGACACUCCUGCAGCUCCAUACAGCCGGAUGGCUAAUGUCCCAGGUCAAUAUCCAGGUUAUCUUUACUCUGAAAGUGUUAAGGGUUAUACAGCAACAGCUACCUGUACUGCCUAUACUGGCAGUUCAUAUCCACCCGUAAGCACCACUACACGCGAGUGCUACACAAACCAGGUCUACCAGCCACAGUGGCCAAACUACUUUGGUGUGCAGUCAUAUAUGGGGGGGUUUGCAGCUGCAAUGCCCCUUGUAAGUGUGAGUCCGGCGACACCACAGAUUCAACCCAUGCAGCAGGUGCAACAGAGUGAGCAGGUGCAACAGAUGCAGGACUACUCGUAGAUAUCCUCCAUAUUUUAAGCAAAAUGAUUACCCUGUUUUACCUCUGUUUAUAAACGUAAAGCAAAGCUUUAUUUGGUUCAACUUGUAUUCAUUUUAAUUGAUGUUUGCUGUUCUGAUCUGGUGUUUUUAGGUCAACAUGAAUACAUUAAUAUCUGGUACUCGGUAUUUGAUAUUAAUCAAAUUACUAAAUGCAUGCUGCUUUGUGACUGCAUUUUGGUUAUUGUGUGCACUCAGUUUGAAUCUUAAGUCUUAAGUUUUGCUGGCGAUGCCAUAAGUACUGUGUAAAAGCAUUUCUUUUUAUUAUUAUUUCUUUAAUAUGAGGGAUUCCCCCCUUUGUAAAAAUGG
rnacentral:lncRNA from 1 species